GUUUCCAUGGUGUAUUGGUGAGCACUCCGGACUCUGAAUCCAGUGACCCGAGUUCAAGUCUCGGUGGAACCU
rnacentral:tRNA from 1 species